UUUUUGAUGAACGCUAGCGGCAUCCUAACACAUGCAAGUCGAGGGGUAGAAAGUGCUUGCACUUUUGAGACCGGCGCACGGGUGCGUAACGCGUAUGCAAUCUGCCCUCUACAGGGGAAUAGCCCAGGGAAACUUGGAUUAAUGCCCCAUAGCAUUAAGGAACGGCAUUGUUCCUUAAUUAAAGAUUUAUCGGUAGGGGAUGAGCAUGCCGUACCAUUAGCUAGUUGGUGUGGUAACGGCACACCAAGGCUACGAUGGUUAGGGGCCCUGAGAGGGGGAUCCCCCACACUGGUACUGAGACACGGACCAGACUCCUACGGGAGGCAGCAGUGAGGAAUAUUGGACAAUGGGCGGGAGCCUGAUCCAGCCAUGCCGCGUGCAGGAAGACGGCCCUAUGGGUUGUAAACUGCUUUUAUACGGGAAGAAACACCCCUCGUGAGGGGGCUUUGACGGUACCGUACCAAAUAAGACCGGCUAACUUCCGUGCCAACAAGCCGCGGUAAUACGGAGGGUCCGAGCGUUAUCCCGAAUUAUUUGGUUUAAAAGGGUCCCUAGGCGGCCGUCUAAA
rnacentral:rRNA from 1 species